rnacentral:rRNA from 1 species
CGCACGGGUGAGUAACACGUAUGCAACCUGCCUGCCACAGCCGGAUAAUCGGGAGAAAUUCCGUCUAAUACGGCAUAAUGCAUCGACGGGACAUCCUGUUGGUGCCAAAGGUUAAUUCCGGUGGCGGAUGGGCAUGCGUCGCAUUAGUUAGUUGGCGGUGUAACGGACCACCAAGACGACGAUGCGUAGGGGUUCUGAGAGGAAGGUCCCCCACACUGGUACUGAGGCACGGACCAGACUCCUACGGGAGGCAGCAG